GGUGGGGGGGUGUAGAUAGAGGGAGGGAGGGUGAGAGGGUGAGGAAGGGAAUGGUGGUGAGGAAGAGAGAGAGGGAGAGGGGAGGAGAAUUAGACAGACUGACUGACUGACUGAGUGAUUAACAGUGAGAAGAGGUCAGGAGGGGGGGGCCAGUGUCUUUAUCAUAUUGGUCUGUUGACAGAAAGCAUAGCUGCGUCAUGUGACUCCACUAAUCAGGUCAUAGGAGCAGCUUUGAGCCACAGACAGAGAUCCUGCAGCGUGUGAGCGAGUAACCACGACAACGGCGCACCUAUUGGAUUGGGUGGGGUGGGGGGGUGUAGAUAGAGGGAGGGAGGGUGAGAGGGUGAGGAAUGGAGGGGUGGUGAGGAAGAGAUAGAGAGGGAGAGGGGAGGAGAAUUAGACAGACUGACUGACUGAGAGUGAUUAACAGUGAGAAGAGGUCAGGGUGGAGGGGGGAGGGGGGGCGAGUGUCUUUAUCAUAUUGGUCUGUUGACAGAAAGCAUAGCUGCGUCAUGUGACUCCACUAAUCAGGUCAUAGGAGCGAGCAGCUGUGAGUCACAGACAGAUCCUGCAGCAUGUGAGCGAGUAACCACGACAACGGCGCACCUGUGCUCAUUAACGAUCUGCUGCAAAAGACAGAGACAUGGCAGCAAGUUACACAGAAUCCACACCUCACACAAAUGAGAACCAGCGCAAAACUAUAACAGCUAUCUAAAAAAUACGGCGUUUGUAUGAGACCCAAGACUCUACCGAACGCGUGGAUGUGCUUUUUAUGUCUGUCCGGUAAUAAAUACGGCUCCUAUGGCCGUUGACAGAACGUGUACCUUGUGGAUUUUUGUGAGAAAUAUGUCGGCAGAUUUGUAUUGGAGCCUAUGGGGCUUUUGGCAGAGGUUGUGUCACUCAAACACUCCUUG
ensembl:lncRNA